AUUUCCUCAUUUGGGAACCUAAGAGACAGAAACAGUGGCCAUGUGAAACCAGGAAUCCUGCUCAAGGAGUGUAUACCCCAGAAACCCACUGGGCUCUACCGCUGACCAGCCUUCUAGGCAGAGGCCACGCAUGCACGAAGUCCCACACACACGCACAUGCACACCCCCGAUGUUUAACACGGCCUUCUCCCAAUCCUGCACAAGCUUGGAAAUUCAUGAUUGAACGUCAAGGGAGAAUGGAAAAGACCAUGGUGACCUUUGGGGUUAGAGGAGCAGUGAUUCACAGGGAUCUAAGUAGCGUUUGCGCAGGGUGGGAGGCAAAAACCACACUCUAGUUUUAAAAGACCUCAAAGGCCUUUGAAAGCAACCCCAGUCCAAGUGCGCAUGACUUUCACCAGAAGUCAUAGGUGGGACACCUAGUGACAGCAGACAGUGGAAACUCCUGACUGAGUAGCUUCAAUAGACCAUUGUCCUCAGGGGUAUCACAAGUCACACCACUGAGAGCCAUAUCUUACUGCCUGCCCUAGGUUCUUGGCUUCCUUGGUUCCUGAAUGGAAUACUUGUCUCCAUGACUUGAAAGGGUAUUGAGAAACAUAAGGAAAGUAAAUAGAGGGAAUGGCGGGGGAUUGGAGAAAAUAGCCCAGGAAGAACAAAACAGUUUCACACCAGAACUCAUUGGUCAUUGGUGAGAUGAGGAAUCAAUGCUUUAAAGUUAAUUUCAAAAAAGUAAAUGAGAAAAAGGAAAAAAAAAGUU
rnacentral:lncRNA from 1 species